UGGCGGCAGGCCUAACAAUGCAAAUCGAACGGUAACAUGACUAGCUUGCUAGUUGAUGACGAGUGGCGGACGGGUGAGUAACGCGUAGGAAUCUACCCAGUAGCGGGGGAUAAGCCAGAGAAAUUUGGUCUAAUACCGCAUACGCCCUUCGGGGGGAAAGCAGGGGAUCUUCGGACCUUGCACUAUUGGAUGAGCCUGCGUGAGAUUAGCUUGUUGGUGAGGUAAUGGCUCACCAAGGCGACGAUCUCUAGCUGGUCUGAGAGGAUGAUCAGCCACACUGGAACUGAGACACGGUCCAGACUCCUACGGGAGGCAGCAGUGGGGAAUAUUGCACAAUGGGCGCAAGCCUGAUGCAGCCAUGCCGCGUGUGUGAAGAAGGCCCUAGGGUUGUAAAGCACUUUCAGCAGUGAGGAAAGGUUAGUAGUUAAUACCUGCUAGCUGUGACGUUAACUGCAGAAGAAGCACCGGCUAACUCCGUGCCAGCAGCCGCGGUAAUACGGAGGGUGCGAGCGUUAAUCGGAAU
rnacentral:rRNA from 1 species